rnacentral:rRNA from 1 species
GCGGCGAGCGAAACGGGAAGAGCCCAAACCAACAAGCUUGCUUGUUGGGGUUGUAGGACACUCUAUACGGAGUUACAAAGGACGACAUUAGACGAAUCAUCUGGAAAGAUGAAUCAAAGAAGGUAAUAAUCCUGUAGUCGAAAAUGUUGUCUCUCUUGAGUGGAUCCUGAGUACGACGGAGCACGUGAAAUUCCGUCGGAAUCUGGGAGGACCAUCUCCUAAGGCUAAAUACUCUCUAGUGACCGAUAGUGAACCAGUACCGUGAGGGAAAGGUGAAAAGCACCCCGGAAGGGGAGUGAAAUAGAACCUGAAACCGUGUGCUUACAAGUAGUCAGAGCCCGUUAAUGGGUGAUGGCGUGCCUUUUGUAGAAUGAACCGGCGAGUUACGAUUUGAUGCAAGGUUAAGCAGUAAAUGUGGAGCCGUAGCGAAAGCGAGUCUGAAUAGGGCGUUUAGUAUUUGGUCGUAGACCCGAAACCAGGUGAUCUACCCUUGGUCAGGUUGAAGUUCAGGUAACACUGAAUGGAGGACCGAACCGACUUACGUUGAAAAGUGAGCGGAUGAACUGAGGGUAGCGGAGAAAUUCCAAUCGAACCUGGAGAUAGCUGGUUCUCUCCGAAAUAGCUUUAGGGCUAGCCUCAAGUGAUGAUUAUUGGAGGUAGAGCACUGUUUGGACGAGGGGCCCCUCUCGGGUUACCGAAUUCAGACAAACUCCGAAUGCCAAUUAAUUUAACUUGGGAGUCAGAACAUGGGUGAUAAGGUCCGUGUUCGAAAGGGAAACAGCCCAGACCACCAGCUAAGGUCCCAAAAUAUAUGUUAAGUGGAAAAGGAUGUGGCGUUGCCCAGACAACUAGGAUGUUGGCUUAGAAGCAGCCAUCAUUUAAAGAGUGCGUAAUAGCUCACUAGUCGAGUGACACUGCGCCGAAAAUGUACCGGGGCUAAACAUAUUACCGAAGCUGUGGAUUGUCCUUUGGACAAUGGUAGGAGAGCGUUCUAAGGGCGUUGAAGCAUGAUCGUAAGGACAUGUGGAGCGCUUAGAAGUGAGAAUGCCGGUGUGAGUAGCGAAAGACGGGUGAGAAUCCCGUCCACCGAUUGACUAAGGUUUCCAGAGGAAGGCUCGUCCGCUCUGGGUUAGUCGGGUCCUAAGCUGAGGCCGACAGGCGUAGGCGAUGGAUAACAGGUUGAUAUUCCUGUACCACCUAUAAUCGUUUUAAUCGAUGGGGGGACGCAGUAGGAUAGGCGAAGCGUGCGAUUGGAUUGCACGUCUAAGCAGUAAGGCUGAGUAUUAGGCAAAUCCGGUACUCGUUAAGGCUGAGCUGUGAUGGGGAGAAGACAUUGUGUCUUCGAGUCGUUGAUUUCACACUGCCGAGAAAAGCCUCUAGAUAGAAAAUAGGUGCCCGUACCGCAAACCGACACAGGUAGUCAAGAUGAGAAUUCUAAGGUGAGCGAGCGAACUCUCGUUAAGGAACUCGGCAAAAUGACCCCGUAACUUCGGGAGAAGGGGUGCUCUUUAGGGUUAACGCCCAGAAGAGCCGCAGUGAAUAGGCCCAAGCGACUGUUUAUCAAAAACACAGGUCUCUGCUAAACCGUAAGGUGAUGUAUAGGGGCUGACGCCUGCCCGGUGCUGGAAGGUUAAGAGGAGUGGUUAGCUUCUGCGAAGCUACGAAUCGAAGCCCCAGUAAACGGCGGCCGUAACUAUAACGGUCCUAAGGUAGCGAAAUUCCUUGUCGGGUAAGUUCCGACCCGCACGAAAGGCGUAACGAUUUGGGCACUGUCUCAACGAGAGACUCGGUGAAAUCAUAGUACCUGUGAAGAUGCAGGUUACCCGCGACAGGACGGAAAGACCCCGUGGAGCUUUACUGUAGCCUGAUAUUGAAAUUCGGCACAGCUUGUACAGGAUAGGUAGGAGCCUUUGAAACGUGAGCGCUAGCUUACGUGGAGGCGCUGGUGGGAUACUACCCUAGCUGUGUUGGCUUUCUAACCCGCACCACUUAUCGUGGUGGGAGACAGUGUCAGGCGGGCAGUUUGACUGGGGCGGUCGCCUCCUAAAAGGUAACGGAGGCGCUCAAAGGUUCCCUCAGAAUGGUUGGAAAUCAUUCAUAGAGUGUAAAGGCAUAAGGGAGCUUGACUGCGAGACCUACAAGUCGAGCAGGGUCGAAAGACGGACUUAGUGAUCCGGUGGUUCCGCAUGGAAGGGCCAUCGCUCAACGGAUAAAAGCUACCCCGGGGAUAACAGGCUUAUCUCCCCCAAGAGUUCACAUCGACGGGGAGGUUUGGCACCUCGAUGUCGGCUCAUCGCAUCCUGGGGCUGUAGUCGGUCCCAAGGGUUGGGCUGUUCGCCCAUUAAAGCGGUACGCGAGCUGGGUUCAGAACGUCGUGAGACAGUUCGGUCCCUAUCCGUCGUGGGCGUAGGAAAUUUGAGAGGAGCUGUCCUUAGUACGAGAGGACCGGGAUGGACAUACCUCUGGUGUACCAGUUGUCGUGCCAACGGCAUAGCUGGGUAGCUAUGUGUGGACGGGAUAAGUGCUGAAAGCAUCUAAGCAUGAAGCCCCCCUCAAGAUGAGAUUUCCCAACUUCGGUUAUAAGAUCCCUCAAAGAUGAUGAGGUUAAUAGGUUCGAGGUGGAAGCAUGGUGACAUGUGGAGCUGACGAAUACUAAUCGAUCGAAGACUUAAUCAA